rnacentral:lncRNA from 1 species
GUUCAAAAGCAGCCAAGCCGAAAGAGGCCUGCAGAAAAGCUCUGAGCUCAUUUCCCACAGCUGCUACCUAGAGCGCCCAGCAAGAGCCUCCCAGGAUGAACAGCUUCCUCUUCCUUCUAUUCACCUUAAGCCUCUUGGUUCUGACUCAGAUACAAACUGGAGUCCUGGGGAACACGACCGCCAGCUCUGGCGGGACCUCUGGCGCUGGCAGUGGCGGGAACAGUGGCAGUGGCGGGAACAGUGGCACUGGCAAGCCCGCUGCCACCACCCUCAAAACUACCACAACUGCGAAAACCGACACAGAUGGGGCCCCAGCUCUCAGCAGCAUGGAUGGUGGCAGCGUCCUUUUCUUCUUGACCCACAUCCUCAUCCACCUCUUCUACCUCAGCUGAGGUGACAGUGUCAUCUCUAGCUCUAUGUCCCCUGAAACACUGCCACCAUCACUAGCCAGAGAACACCCGCCUCCCGCCAACCCUCAGGACGGGUGGACGACAGAGAUCCCAGGGGGUAGAGGUUGACAGGCAGCGGCCAAGCCGGGGAAGUCCUGACGUGGAGGGCAGCCUGGGGCUCAAUA